UACGUAGGGGGCAAGCGUUGUCCGGAUUCAUUGGGCGUAAAGAGCGUGUAGGCGGCCAGGUAGGUCGGUUGUGAAAACUGGAGGCUCAACCUUCAGACGUCGACCGAAACCAUCCUGGCUAGAGUCCGGGAGAGGAGAGUGGAAUUCCGUGGUGUAGCGGUGAAAUGCGCAGAUAUCAGGAAGAACACCCGUGGCGAAAGCGGCUCUCUGGAACGGUACUGACGCUGAGACGCGAAAGCGUGGGGAGCGAACAGG
rnacentral:rRNA from 1 species